GAUUGUAAACAUGGUCCUAAUUCUUCACGUUUCUGGUAAUAUGACUUUGUAGGUUAUGCCAUCAAGAGGAACUGUCUGUUCCAAUACCCUAUGAACCUGGGCUCAACUGCUGACUUGGCUCAACAAAACUGUUGGAAAACACCCGGUGCCAGCUUUAAGUCUAUCCCAAAGAAGCUUCCUGUGUUUCACUCAGCUUCUGGACCCCUGCUGUGCCCCUGUGAAUGAGCCUGGUGUAAUCAUCUGGAUGAAGGGAAACAACAUGGAAGGGAAACCAGCUCUUCUGUCCAUCAAGACCCAUCAGUAACCCAUACUUUACACAGAUGCAGAAAUUAGCCUAGUAAGGAACAGGAGGAUCUGCUGUAGAGAGUGAAUUCUACACACCUGAUGCUUACCUAGAGGUCCAGAGAUGAUGUACUUCUACUGACAUUGCCACCAGUGCUGCUUGGCUCCCCUGGCAUGCCGUCACACCGCAGACGAAAACAAUCAAUGACCAGGACUCAUCCCAAAGGAGAUGCUGAAGAAGUCGAGAUGAACUGUAAACUACACAUUCUCCGGUCUGCAGCUGUCGGCUGCUGCAGUUUGCUCUGCUCGAAAGAGGACGGAGACCCAAGAAGAUAACCUGUCCUGUCCUCGGAGCCACAGCUUGGUGACUUCAGUACCCAGGGCUCACUUACCUCUUGACUUCUGUCUUCCAUUUGGAAAAUAAAGCAUCAUGCUGAGAAU
rnacentral:lncRNA from 1 species